AGGGCUACGUUCACGGUGUGGUCGCGGCCUCCGGGGGCUCCCCCCGGGCGGUAGAGGUAACACUCUUACGCGCCACAUGUCUGAAUCCUUUUUUUACGAGCACCUUUCGUUCUCCUUCGGUGGGGCAACCUGCCGUUGGAACUUAUCAAAACCUUUUUUGCAUCUAGCAUUACCUGUUCAGAUACAAACAAUCGUUACAACUUUCAACAAUGGAUCUCUUGGCUCUGGCAUCGAUGAAGAACGCAGCGAAAUGCGAUAAGUAGUGUGAAUUGCAGAAUUCAGUGAAUCAUCGAAUCUUUGAACGCACAUUGCGCCCCUUGGUAUUCCAUGGGGCAUGCCUGUUCGAGCGUCAUCUACACCCUCAAGCUCUGCUUGGUGUUGGGCGUCUGUCCCGCCUCUGCGCGUGGACUCGCCCCAAAUUCAUUGGCAGCGGUCUUUGCCUCCUCUCGCGCAGCACAUUGCGCUUUAGAGGGGUGUGGGCCGCGUCCACGAAGCAACAUUAUCGUCUUUGACCUCGGAUCAGGUAGGGAUACCCGCUGAACUUAAGCAUAUCAAAAGUCGGGGAGGAAGAU
rnacentral:rRNA from 1 species